GCCACCGUCGCAGCUGCCUCCGCCACCACCGCCGCCUCCUCUUCCUUGGCCACCCCAGAACUGGGCAGCAGCCUCAAGAAGAAGAAGCGGCUCUCCCAGUCAGAUGAGGAUGUCAUUAGGCUAAUAGGACAGCACUUGAAUGGCUUAGGGCUCAAGCAGAAAAUGACCUGAAUGAACUAAAGCCUUUAGUGCAUUCUCCUCAUGCUAUUGUGGUAAGAGGCGCACUUGAAAUCUCUCAAACGUUGUUGGGAAUAAUUGUGGCACAAACAUUUUCUGAAACUUCCAUCAACUUUUUUCCCCUGACUGCUGCUUUCUGUCAUGUCAGAGGAUGAAGUUUUUGCUGCUGCAGCAGAAGUACCUAGAAUACCUGGAGGAUGGCAAGGUCCUGGAGGCACUUCAAGUUCUACGCUGUGAAUUGACACCGCUGAAAUACAAUACAGAGCGCAUUCAUGUUCUUAGUGGGUAUCUGAUGUGUAGCCAUGCAGAAGACCUACGUGCAAAAGCAGAAUGGGAAGGCAAAGGGACAGCU
rnacentral:sRNA from 1 species